rnacentral:rRNA from 1 species
GACGAACGCUGGCGGCGUGCUUAACACAUGCAAGUCGAACGGAAAGGCCUGCUUUCCCUUGUGGAUUGCGGGUACUCGAGUGGCGAACGGGUGAGUAACACGUGAGUGAUCUGCCCCCAAAUUGGGUAUAAGCCUGGGAGACUGGGUCUAAUUCCCGAUAGGACUGCAGGGUGGUGCCUGUGGUGGAAAACGAUGUUCUAGUGGUUGGGGAUGAGCUCGCGGCCUAUCAGCUUGUUGGUGGGGUAAUGGCCUACCAAGGCGGCGACGGGUAGCCGGCCUGGGAGGGUGGACGGCCACAUUGGGACUGAGAUACUGCCCAGACUCCUACGGGAGGCAGCAGUGGGGAAUAUUGCACAAUGGGCGGAAGCCUGAUGCAGCGACGCCGCGUGGGGGAUGACGGCCUUCGGGUUGUAAACUCCUUUCGACCGCGAGGAAGCCACCUGGUUGGAAGGGUGGUGACGGUAGUGGUAGAAGAAGCACCGGCUAACUACGUG